UUCAGCAACUCUUUUUUUAACAAAAAAAUAAUAGUAUGCUUUUAACAUCAUGUUUAUUUUAACUUUAGCGGUCCUGCUCACUUUUCUCAUCGUUUAUGUAUAAAAUUUGAGUUUUGAAAUUUUAUUUAAGGUUGUCAUUUCCUCCUCAAAUGUUCACGUUUUUAAUGUUCAUGCUGUGUUACUUGGCGAGUCUCAAUUUAAGUACAGAUAAACAAAGUGAAGGAACGGGGACCAGAAGUUAUAGUUGCUAAUGAAGACAAAAGAAACUGCAGAAAACAACAAAGAAGUCUUCAUGUUAUCCAUAUUCAAGAUCUAAUCCCCUAUUGUAUGGUCCACUAAUAAUUUGGGAGAUAAAACGUCAUAUAAUUGGUGGUUGAAAUGCUUGAAAUGGGAGAGUUUCUGGAGCCACGUGUCAGAUUGUGAAUGGUCAGAGAUUGUUGGCUCUAACGAAUAAGGCUUUGGCAGGAUAGUAUUGUGUUUUGCACAAUCUUGUUUCAGGCAUUAUCCUCCCAAGCUCGCCUCUUAUCUGCCACAUAGUUGUUGGAGAAGCAUGAUCAUGAUCAGUUACAGGUAGAUAAUGCAGAAAGUAAUUCAGUAUUCAGUGAAAGAGAAAUGGUGAAGUGAAUUGCUACCGGCAUUGGCGGAUUCUUUUCAACAGUGCUAUUUAAUGGGAUAAUGAGUUUUAGUUCAUCAUCAACCGGGUCAUCAUCAAAUUGGCUGUCUUGCCACCAGACUGAGCCUCUUCCAUCAAUAAUGCCCUUUCCCUGGAUGGUAAUUCCUCUUAGCUUUGUGAACUCGAGCCAUUGUAGCAGACCUCUGCCCCAAGCUUUAGAGUUUGUGGGAGCAAUGACCGUACCAUCCAGCUGAGAAAAUGUUAACUAAUUCAUCAAUCUUUGUCAUGCAUUUUAUUAGGUGGUAAUACAAGACCGGCCCAUUAUAAAGGCCCAAAUCAUUUCACUGUAAAAAGACCCCGUGUCUCUAUCAGGUUUCUCCUUGCAAUGCUAGAGAAAGUUAC